UGUUUCCUGAUGUGUUAUUGGAAAUAAAAUCUGCCCUAUGAUUAAUAUAUUAAAUGGCCGCAGUAUCUUGACUGUGCGAAGGUAGCAUAAUAGUUUGUCUUUUAAUUGGAGUCUGGUAUGAAUGAUUAAAUGAGGGAAAUACUGUCUUUUAAGAAUUAUUGAAUUUUUAGGUUAGGUGAAGAUACUUAAAUGUCUGUAAAAGACGAGAAGACCCCAUCAAGUUUUAUAAAUUUAGAUGUUUUUAGGAUAAUAAUUGCUAUCUAAAUUUAUUUAGUUGGGGCAACGGAUAAAUAAGUAAAACUUUAUUAUUAAUAUAUGUAUAUCAGUAAAUAGUUAAUAUGGUCCAUAUGUUUGAUUAUAAGAUUAAAUUACUGUGGGGAUAACAGCGUAAUUUCUUUUUAGAGUUCUUAUCGAUGAAGAAGAUUGCGACCUCGAUGUUGGAUUAAGAUACUUAUUUGGCGCAGGUGCUUAAUGGGGUAGUCUG
rnacentral:rRNA from 1 species